GACGAACGCUGGCGGCGUGCCUAAUACAUGCAAGUCGAACGCAGUGGGGACGGGUGAGUAACACGUGGGUAACCUCCCAUCAGAGGGGAUAACACUUGGAAACUGGUGCUAAACCGAUACUGAUGGAUGGACCCGCGGGGCAUUAGCUAGUUGGUGAGGUAACGGCUCACCAAGGCCACGAUGCAUAGCCGGCCUGAGAGGGUGAUCGGCCACACUGGGACUGAGACACGGCCCAGACUCCGACGGGAGGCAGCAGUAGGGAAUCUUGGGCAAUGGACGAAAGUCUGACCGAGCAAGGCGGCGUGAUCGAAGAAGGUUUUCGGAUCGUAAAGUUUUUUUGUGAGAGAAGCGGUAUCUAAACAGAAAGCCGCGGCUAGCUACGUGCCAGCAGCCGCGGUAAUAC
rnacentral:rRNA from 1 species